rnacentral:lncRNA from 1 species
AGUUCCCAUUAAAUCAGAAGAGCUUGCAGAAGAAGCUUCCAGAGAGGGUCUUACCCUUUGGGGCAGGAGGCACGCCAACAGCCUCUUUGGGACCUGGACCUUGAAGAAAGGGGAUGGCUGCUUCUGGAGGCUCCAGGCAGGAGGGCCAAGCUAGUGCUGUCAGAGAAAGAUGACUUCCAACAGCAGAAAGCACCCAUGGGCCACAGAACCUGAGUGACAAGGGGAAAAUGGGCCCAAAAGCCCCCUGGAAAUCCACCCCAUCCAGAAGAGGACUAUGAGCUUCCGCAGUUAUGGAACACAGUUCUAAGCCAACCUGAGGCCACAGCAACUAAGAAUCCAGCAGACGUCGGGUCCACCCGUGCAUUUCUACAUCCUUUUUCGAAUGUAGAAAUUACGGGCCCAUUUUCUUGUCCAUUGUUUCCCUGUUUUCUCUUGCUGACACCCUGGUCUUGAGAUGUGUUGUUGUGUGGAGGGACUAGUGUAGUGUUAUGAAAUAAAUAAAGGCUGUAGAGC